AACGAACGCUGGCGGCAUGCCUAACACAUGCAAGUCGAACGAGACCUUCGGGUCUAGUGGCGCACGGGUGCGUAACGCGUGGGAACCUGCCUUUAGGUUCGGAAUAAACUCAGAGAAAUUUGAGCUAAUACCGGAUAAUGUCUUCGGACCAAAAGAUUUAUCGCCUUUAGAUGGGCCCGCGUUGGAUUAGCUAGUUGGUGGGUAAAGCCUACCAAGGCGACGAUCCAUAGCUGGUCUGAGAGGAUGAUCAGCCACACUGGGACUGAGACACGGCCCAGACUCCUACGGGAGGCAGCAGUGGGAAUAUUGGGACAAAUGGGCGAAAGCCUGAUCCAGCAAUGCCGCGUGAGUGAUGAAGGCUAGGUGUAAG
rnacentral:rRNA from 1 species